AGAGGGGGCAAGCGUUAUUCGGAAUUAUUGGGCGUAAAGGGCGCGUAGGCGGCUUGGCAAGUGGAAGGUGAAAUCCCUCGGCUUAACCGAGGAACUGCCCUCCAAACUGCUUUGCUUGAGGCCGGGAGAGGCGAGUGGAAUUCCCAGUGUAGCGGUGAAAUGCGUAGAUAUUGGGAGGAACACCAGUGGCGAAGGCGGCUCGCUGGACCGGUUCUGACGCUGAGGCGCGAAAGCGUGGGGAGCAAACGGGAUUAGAUACCCCGGUAGUCCACGCUGUAAACGAUGAGUGCUUGGUGUAGCGGGUAUCGACCCCUGCUGUGCCGAAGUCAACACAUUAAGCACUCCGCCUGGGGAGUACGGUCGCAAGGCUG
rnacentral:rRNA from 1 species